GACGAACGCUGGCGGCGUGCUUAACACAUGCAAGUCGAACGGAAAGGCCUUUUCGGGGGUACUCGAGUGGCGAACGGGUGAGUAACACGUGGGUGAUCUGCCCUGCACUCUGGGAUAAGCCUGGGAAACUGGGUCUAAUACCGGAUAGGACCGCACUUUAGUGUGUGUGGUGGAAAGUUUUUUCGGUGUAGGAUGAGCCCGCGGCCUAUCAGCUUGUUGGUGGGGUAAUGGCCUACCAAGGCGGCGACGGGUAGCCGGACUGAGAGGUUGGUCGGCCACAUUGGGACUGAGAUACGGCCCAGACUCCUACGGGAGGCAGCAGUGGGGAAUAUUGCACAAUGGGCGCAAGCCUGAUGCAGCGACGCCGCGUGGGGGAUGACGGCCUUCGGGUUGUAAACUCCUUUCGCCAGGGACGAAGCGUUUUGUGACGGUACCUGGAGAAGAAGCGCCGGCUAACUACGUG
rnacentral:rRNA from 1 species